rnacentral:rRNA from 1 species
CCUACGGGGGGCAGCAGUGGGGAAUAUUGCGCAAUGGGCGAAAGCCUGACGCAGCGACGCCGCGUGAGGGAUGAAGGCCUUCGGAUUGUAAACCUCUGUCAGCAGGGAAGAACGGUCACUGUGUUAAUCAGUAGUGAAUUGACGGUACCUGCAAAGGAAGCACCGGCUAACUCCGUGCCAGCAGCCGCGGUAAUACGGAGGGUGCGAGCGUUAAUCGGAAUUACUGGGCGUAAAGCGCUCGUAGGCGGUAUGUCAAGUCAAGGGUGAAAUCCCCGCGCUCAACGUGGGAACUGCAUAUGAAACUGGCAAACUGGAGUGUGGGAGAGGGUAGUGGAAUUCCAGGUGUAGGAGUGAAAUGCGUAGAUAUCUGGAGGAACAUCAGUGGCGAAGGCGGCUAUCUGGAACAUAACUGACGCUGAGGAGCGAAAGCGUGGGGAGCAAACAGGAUUAGAUACCCUUGUAGUC